rnacentral:rRNA from 1 species
GACGAACGCUGGCGGCGUGCUUAACACAUGCAAGUCGAACGGAAAGGCCCUGCUUUUGUGGGGUGCUCGAGUGGCGAACGGGUGAGUAACACGUGAGUAACCUGCCCUUGACUUUGGGAUAACUUCAGGAAACUGGGGCUAAUACCGGAUAGGAGCUCCUGCUGCAUGGUGGGGGUUGGAAAGUUUCGGCGGUUGGGGAUGGACUCGCGGCUUAUCAGCUUGUUGGUGGGGUAGUGGCUUACCAAGGCUUUGACGGGUAGCCGGCCUGAGAGGGUUACCGGCCACAUUGGGACUGAGAUACGGCCCAGACUCAUACGGGAGGCAGAAGUGGGGAAUAUUGCACAAUGGGCGGAAGCCUGAUGCAGCAACGCCGCGUGCGGGAUGACGGCCUUCGGGUUGUAAACCGCUUUCGCCUGUGACGAAGCGUGAGUGACGGUAAUGGGUAAAGAAGCACCGGCUAACUACGUG